rnacentral:rRNA from 1 species
GAUGAACGCUGGCGGCGUGCUUAACACAUGCAAGUCGAACGAAGCAUUUGCGACAGAUUUUUUCGGAAUGAAGUUGCUUAUGACUGAGUGGCGGACGGGUGAGUAACGCGUGGGUAACCUGCCUUGUACUGGGGGAUAGCAGCUGGAAACGUCUGGUAAUACCGCAUAAGCGCACAAUGUUGCAUGACAUGGUGUGAAAAAGUCCGGUGGUAUAAGAUGGACCCGCGUCUGAUUAGCUAGUUGGUGAGAUAACAGCCCACCAAGGCGACGAUCAGUAGCCGACCUGAGAGGGUGACCGGCCACACUGGGACUGAGACACGGCCCAGACUCCUACGGGAGGCAGCAGUGGGGAAUAUUGCACAAUGGAGGAAACUCUGAUGCAGCGAGGCCGCGUGAGUGAAGAAGUAAUUCGUUAUGUAAAGCUCUAUCAGCAGGGAAGAUAGUGACGGUACCUGACUAAGAAGCCCCGGCUAAAUACGUG